rnacentral:lncRNA from 1 species
AAAAAAAGAAACAGAGUGAUAUCGAGAGAGAUCAUGAGGGUCAUGUUUUUCUGAAAUGUUUGUUGUUUUGUUUGAUCGAGAGAAGAGAAAUGAGGGAGAGAAUGAUGUGAUCUUUUUUUAUUUUUUCUUUAAAAAUUAUGUCACAUGUCACAACAACAUUGGGUGUUUGUUAAAUUUUGAAAAAAUGUCAAAAUGUUGGUUUAUUUUAAUAUUUGAUGUGGUGGCUGAGAGUAAGAGGGGUGUCACCCUUCCUCUCUAUAAUGUUUCUUUUUUUCAUUUUUUAUUUUUUAAUAAAGUUUAAUAAUGUUGAAUUAAGAUUGGUUGUUAGUGGGUUGGGCCUUGAGCCCUAUUGUUAUUUUACAAACCCCCAAUACUAAUAUGUACCCUCUUGUUAUUUCUUUUAUUUUUUUAUUUUUUAUUAGUUUAAUUAUUUAAGUUAGUAUUUAAU